GCCAGAUGUGGUGGUGCAUGCUUGUAAUCCCAGCUGCUUGGGAGGCUGAGGCAAGAGGAUUGAGAGUUCAAAGCCAGCCUCAGCAAUUUACUGAGGCAUUAAGCAACUCAGUGAGACCCUGUCUCUA
rnacentral:sRNA from 1 species